GGGAAGAAGCGUCUCGUCCGGAGCGCCGUCACUCACUCACUGCGGUCUCGUCUCCCCGGCGGCCGGCCGCCGCCACUUCGCCCCUCCUCACCGGACUCCGCUCUCCACUCCAAACUCACACCAGUUCUACCCUGGCGCCUUGUCCAUACUUCGAUUCAUCCCGCUAGUUUCCGCUGAUUUCCCCCCCAAUCCGAGGAGUUCUAGAACUCGUCCAGGGCUAUCAUGCCCGUCGACACCGGCGAUGCGGACUGCGGCGCGACGGCGGAGGCGGAGGCGGCGCCUGCUCCGGAGGCUGGGAUGGUCUUCCCGUCCUUGGGUACUGACAGUGCAGCAGACACCCCCAAACAAGCGUUCCAGCAACAAGCCAUCUAAGGCGCCAUCUGGCCGGAUUGCAAAUGGAGAUGCCGAUUCCUUCGAAACCACUGCCCGUGGACGCAGCGGCGAUGUCACGCAAGAGCCUGCUUCAGCAUUUCAACCGUGUGUUGGGUACGCUCUCCUGACGGAUGAGAGUGAGGAAUCGUAUGUGUGGUUGUUUGAGACUUGACUCACCUUUAUGGGUGGGAAGAAGCCAGUGUCGUUCACGAUGAAUUAUGACAGGGAUGUUGAGAUGGCUGCCAUCAAAGUCUUUGAUGAAGUUGGACAACGAUUUUGCCAGCGAGAUAUCUUCUCCAGUUGCAGGGAGAGGUUGGCUCCUGUUUAUGCAGCACACCCAUCAUUCAAGCAAGAGCUCAAGGAUUGUGUAAGUAAAUUGGAAAGGAUUGAUGAGUUUGAGUCAACAUGGAGGGUUUUGCUUAACAAGUGUAAUCUGCUAGGGAGUAAGUGGUUGCAAACAAUAUAUAACAUCCGUCAUCAGUGGGUGCCUGUCUACCUUAAAGAUAGCUUCUUCGGUGAAAUGGUCAAAUGCACCGAAGUGGGAGACAAUGUUCAAGUUUUUACAGAGGAAUUUCAUCGCGACUACCAGAUUUAGUAUUGCAGUUUGAUAAAGCGAUGCUGCUACAUUAUCAGAAUGAACUCCAGAAAGACAUUGCAAGCUUCGGGUGCAAGAUGGUCAUGAAGACUUCAUACCCAAUGGAGAAACAAGCAUCUGAGCUGUACACCAAAUUUAUGUUUGGCUUGUUUCAGGAUGAGCUUGUUGGAUCCUCAGACCUUUUAGUGAAGCUGAUUGAAAAUGGAGGCAUUAGCAAAUUUGAAGUAACUAAAUCUGGCAUUGCCAAUAGUAGAUACACUGUUGUCCGUAAUGCCUUUGAGAGCAGCAUGACUUGCAGUUGCCACAAAUUUGAAUUUGCUGGGAUGCUGUGUCGGCAUAUCUUAAAGGUUUUUGUUGCUAUUGGCGUGCGAGUGCUUCCUGAUAAAUAUAUACUGAAACGAUGGUCAAAAAAUGCCAAGGAUGACUUGUUAUCUGCAGUUCUCGAAAGCUCAAAAGGACCUUUUGCCUGGCAGUGUAAUGAUCUGUACCGUGAUGCUAUCAGAUUUGCCGAGGAAGGCACAAUAUCUCCAGUGAUAUACAAAAUUGCCAAAGAGGCUUUGGUGAAGGCUUUUGCUGAAGCUUGUCCUCAAAGGAAGUUCCAUUCGUAAUAAACAAAACAGGAAAUUCACAUGCUAUGGAGUUAACAAGGAUCUUGUCCAUGGACCUGCUGGCACCAUUAAAAACCAAUCUGAAUUCUGAAGACCCCGGUCUGGAUGGCAAUUAUUUCAGAAUAUGCUUUGGGGGUAGGUCUGCAAUUGUUUCAACGGAGACAAAGUCUGCGAUAGGCAUUCUGAGACCGCACUGUUUAGUAAUGCCGUACAAAUCAUCCCUCUGAAUUAACAGGAGACUGGCGCUUUCUCUGUUAAUUAGUGGCUGAAGGAAGGCCCAUUCAGCCAUUCUGGUGCUGGCACUCUUAUCUUGCACAGGAUCUUCAUUUAGGAUCUGAUGAUGCUCCAAAGAGGACAAUCAAGAGCUGCAUAUCUGGCAUCUACGGCGCCCUACAGGGAUUGUAACAUUGUUUGCGUGUAGCUGUCCACUGUGCCAGCUCUGUGUGCUUUUGUUGACACGAAAUGAAACCAUUGUGAAACUCCUGGGAUGAUGCAUGCAUGAUGCUGCUGCACGUGAGUGAAUGCAGCACCAACUGCUGCUCUGUUGCCACUUGAGGCUGUCCUUUCUCUUGUUGUACUGUUGUACUUGGAACCAAAUCACAAGCAUUCAAAAUACUGAUAUUCAGACUUCA